UAUGCAAAUCUUUAAUACAAAUAAAUUAUGUAAAAUAGAUUAUGUUAAAAUGUUCCCGACCUUAUGUAGCUCCGCCCUUUUCGGCGCGCGCAUGUUGUCUUCUCUUGCGUCAGUAUCCACAGCUUUAAGGUAAAUUCGUACGAAUUUAUGAAUAAUCCGAUCUUAAAAAAACUACUCACGUUCGUUAUGACAUCCGCUUCGAACAUCACAAUGCGCAUGAUAACUUUCGUUACUCUGCAAUAAGUAAAUACACUCUACCUGCUUGAACAGCGAUGCUAUAUCGAGCUACCGCAAAAACGGAAGUUUAAAGACAAAUUCUAAAGAUGGCUGCUCAUUUCUUUCACUGGCGCGAAAAUGUAUGUACUGUUGGCCUAAAAACGUCAGCGAGCCAUCGCUUUUAACCCAAUCAUAAACGCUCACUGCCUGUUAAUCAUUUUGCGUGUUCGUGUUUGCGCGCUCGUUUUGGGGGCGGGGUUUGUUGAGUGGCUAAAAGUGCGGCAAAAGUUAGCUAAUAUGCUUGUUACUGAACGUCUUUUCUAAAGUUGUCGAUUUUUGGGUACACGAGUAGAUUCAGUCGUUCCUGUACGCUUGAAAAACAAGGGCCUAUAACAUGGCGGCCCAAAUUAAAAGUCACCACAGGCCAACUUGGUCCUGCGGGCCCUAGUUUGAGCAUCUCUGAUGUAAAUAAAGUGAAUGAGGAGGCUGUCAGAUUGACAAAAAAGGCACCAUAAAAGUAGCUCCAAGUACAUCAGAGUUUGUAAACUUCCAGGCAAGAGUUGCAUAUUUGAACAGAUGGUUUGUAGCAUCAGCUGACAGCUCAGAGAGAGACCUGCUCCCAGGGCGGACUGCGUCUCUGGCACCGGUGCCGUUUUCUCCUUGUUGAAGGACUGGAGACGUGCGGUCCCAGGGUGCCUGACAGUGCUGGGUAACUGACACAUUUCCACAAGGCUUUGGUGACUCCCGUCUUCUGUCAGUAUCGUGUUAGAUGCGGUGAGCCAGGACACGAACUCUUUUGCCGCCUGGUCCUGCAGGUAAGAGCUGACGUCACUGGUGAAGGUGCCGUCUGCGUGUCGUCGUGUGGGGACUCUGGGGGAAAGAGAAUGACUAUUUAUGGAAAGGGAUGCUGACUGGACUCACGUCAACCUCUUAUCUCUUGUACGUCUGUGAGUGUUACAUCAGGCUAAAUGACUCUGCAUCAUCGCAGCGGAGAGCGUGUGCACAUCGUUCCUCCGCCUCACCUCACGGCCGAGAUU